ACAGUUGUUUCCCUGAAAUACCUUAUGUGUUGUUGUACAAUGUUAUCGCUAGAGUGUGGGUUGGGGAAUUGUUUGGGGGCCCAUUUAUGCUGUGUUCUCCCCAGGUUGAAAACUUUCAAUCAACUACUCCCCUUUAAAUUUUUUUUUUUAUCAAACUGUAGAUGAAGAAAUGGGUUUAGCUUCUUAUGUUACAGUGACAUUUUAUGCAUAUAUUAUUUUCUCACACUGGGAAAAUUAAACUUCUCAUAAGAUUAAAUUGCAAUACUUAUUGCUUUUCUUUGUUUUGAAUUAUUCUAAAGUCCUCUAUGCCUGUGCUCCUUUGAAGGCAUUUCUUCUGGGUAAAUUAUCACUUCUUAGUUGAAGAACUGGAAACACAUAGUGAAAGCUAGUGAUGAAGAGUUUAGAAACAGAUUAAUUUAAAAUGGAACUUCACAUGUAGAAACAACUUUCUCCUUAUUAGGGAAUCAUAGUAGAGGAAAGAUGAAAUUCAGAGAAAGCAGAUGAGAAAAAGUAAGGCAAAGCCUUAUCAUAAAAUCUGAAUGUUUGAAAUAAUUGGCUUUAAGAGGUUCACCUACUCGGAGUGGAAAUGGGUGAUGUAAACAGAUGUGGAGCAUAUAGAAAAAUGUAGGUGUCCAAAGGUUUAUAAUUAUGCCAGCCCAUUGGCCACAAUCAAGGUGUCCAAGAAUGGGAGUGACUUUGGGAAUUCUAGCUCUCAAAAUUCCAAAAGCAUUAACCAAUACCUCUAGAAAGUUUUUCCUUAAUCACCCUUGCCUUUAUUCUUUCCCAUGCUGGAGAUACAACCAUCUGCUGCUCAAGGCUCAAGCAUAAACUUCAGCUGAUAACUAUCUAGAAAAAAGCCACACCAUUUUCUACACAGACAAGCUCAAAUUCAGCUUCAGUGGUAUACGAAGGUUAUGUUAGGAGUUCAACACCUAGCAUUUAGAAUGUAAGACCUUGGAGAAUAAACAAACAUUUGCUGGAAAAAAAAAAAAAAAA